rnacentral:rRNA from 1 species
CAGUAGCCGCGGUAAUACGUAGGGUGCGAGCGUUAAUCGGAAUUACUGGGCGUAAAGCGUGCGCAGGCGGUUAUAUAAGACAGAUGUGAAAUCCCCGGGCUCAACCUGGGACCUGCAUUUGUGACUGUAUAGCUAGAGUACGGUAGAGGGGGAUGGAAUUCCGCGUGUAGCAGUGAAGUGCGUAGAUAUGCGGAGGAACACCGAUGGCGAAGGCAAUCCCCUGGACCUGUACUGACGCUCAUGCACGAAAGCGUGGGGAGCAAACAGGAUUAGAUACCCCCGUAGUCCCUGUCUCUUAUAA